rnacentral:rRNA from 1 species
GACGGAUGGGGCCAGCGUUAUUGGGCUUUACUGGGUGUAAAGGGUACGUAGACAGUUUUAAUUUAUUAGUGUGAAAGGUCUGGGUUAAACUUUUUCACCCCGCAUUGUAAUAUUAUAAAACUUGAGUUUAGUAGAAGUAGCUAGAAUUUUUAAUGGAGGGAUGAUAUCCUUCGAGAUUAAAAGGAAUGCCAAAUGUGUAAACAUGUUACUAUUUUAAACUGACGUUAAAGUACGAAAGCAUAGGGAGCAAACAGG